rnacentral:rRNA from 1 species
UACGAAGGGGGCUAGCGUUGCUCGGAAUCACUGGGCGUAAAGCGCACGUAGGCGGACUUUUAAGUCAGGGGUGAAAUCCUGGAGCUCAACUCCAGAACUGCCUUUGAUACUGGAAGUCUUGAGUUCGAGAGAGGUGAGUGGAACUGCGAGUGUAGAGGUGAAAUUCGUAGAUAUUCGCAAGAACACCAGUGGCGAAGGCGGCUCACUGGCUCGAUACUGACGCUGAGGCACGAAAGCGUGGGGAGCAAACAGG